UACGUAGGGUGCGAGCGUUGUCCGGAAUUACUGGGCGUAAAGAGCUCGUAGGUGGUUUGUCGCGUUGUCCGUGAAAACUCACAACUCAAUUGUGGGCGUGCGGGCGAUACGGGCAGACUGGAGUACUGCAGGGGAGACUGGAAUUCCUGGUGUAGCGGUGGAAUGCGCAGAUAUCAGGAGGAACACCGGUGGCGAAGGCGGGUCUCUGGGCCGGUACUGACGCUGAGGAGCGAAAGCGUGGGGAUCAAACAGG
rnacentral:rRNA from 1 species